GAGGGUACAGCUCAGUGGCAGAGCAUGUGCUUAGCAUGCACAAGGUCCUGGGUUCAAUCCUCAGUACCUCCA
rnacentral:tRNA from 1 species